rnacentral:misc_RNA from 1 species
AAAGUCGUAACAAGGUCUCCGUUGGUGAACCAGCGGAGGGAUCAUUACAGAGUUGCAAAACUCCCAAACCAUUGUGAACGUCACCUUACCGUUGCUUCGGCGGGGGGCCCUUACCGGGCUGCGUCCGACCCUCUCGGGGGCCGGGCAACCCGCCGGAGGCGUAUAAACUCUCGAUAUCUUAUGGCAUCUCUGAGUAACUUACACAAUAAGUUAAAACUUUCAACAACGGAUCUCUUGGUUCUG